rnacentral:rRNA from 1 species
AUUGAACGCUGGCGGCAGGCCUAACACAUGCAAGUCGAGCGGCAGCGACUUAACUGAACCUUCGGGGAACGUUAAGGGCGGCGAGCGGCGGACGGGUGAGUAAUGCCUGGGAAUAUGCCCUGAUGUGGGGGAUAACUAUUGGAAACGAUAGCUAAUACCGCAUAAUCUCUUCGGAGCAAAGAGGGGGACCUUCGGGCCUCUCGCGUCAGGAUUAGCCCAGGUGGGAUUAGCUUGUUGGUGAGGUAAUGGCUCACCAAGGCGACGAUCCCUAGCCGGUCUGAGAGGAUGAUCAGCCACACUGGAACUGAGACACGGUCCAGACUCCUACGGGAGGCAGCAGUGGGGAAUAUUGCACAAUGGGGGAAACCCUGAUGCAGCCAUGCCGCGUGUGUGAAGAAGGCCUUCGGGUUGUAAAGCACUUUCAGUAGGGAGGAAGGUAGUGUAGUUAACACCUGCAUUAUUUGACGUUACCUACAGAAGAAGCACCGGCUAACUCCGUGCCAGCAGCCGCGGUAAUACGGAGGGUGCGAGCGUUAAUCGGAAUUACUGGGCGUAAAGCGCAUGCAGGCGGCCUGUUAAGUCAGAUGUGAAAGCCCGGGGCUUAACCUCGGAAUUGCAUUUGAAACUGGCAGGCUAGAGUCUUGUAGAGGGGGGUAGAAUUUCAGGUGUAGCGGUGAAAUGCGUAGAGAUCUGAAGGAAUACCAGUGGCGAAAGCGGCCCCCUGGACAAAGACUGACGCUCAGAUGCGAAAGCGUGGGGAGCAAACAGG